GACGGAGGAUGCAAGUGUUAUCCGGAAUCACUGGGCGUAACGCGUCUGUAGGUGGUCAAAUAAGUCAACUGUUAAAUCUUGAGGCUCAACCUCAAAAUCGCAGUCGAAACUAUUCGACUAGAGUAUAGUAGGGGUAAAGGGAAUUUCCAGUGGAGCGGUGAAAUGCGUAGAGAUUGGAAAGAACACCGAUGGCGAAGGCACUUUACUGGGCUAUUACUAACACUGAGAGACGAAAGCUAGGGUAGCAAAUGGG
rnacentral:rRNA from 1 species